rnacentral:tRNA from 1 species
AGCCUUGUAGUGUAGAUCAUGUUGGAUUGCAAAUCCAGAGACGCAGAUUAGUUGUCUGCCGGGGCUU